UCCUUGUUCUUCAGCUUUCCUCUUGAGCAUUUCCUUAUACUUCUCCACCCUCGGGCCUUCCUUCACUUGCUUCCCGCUCUUCUUGUCCAUGCAUUUUAUGUUGAGCAACGUUACUUCCGCUGGCUUGUUCAGUCCCUGACCAACAGGAGGUUUUUGGCUCUCGUCCAUGUACACAAGCACUUCCCUGUUGCUGAACUGAACCAACUUUUCCAAGUAGAGCUUACGCACAUCCGUCUCUCCUAGAAACUUAAUGCUUCCGUAACCGUGUCUACCGACAACAAAGUCCCUCACUCGUCCGGUAUAACCAGGAUUAGCCCUUUCCUUUGCAGCUAGUUCUUGGACCCGAGGCUCUGUGAAAUACUCAGCGUGAUGCAGCUUUGGCAGCAAUGACUCGAUCUCUGCUCUACUUGGUGAACUCUUUGAGCCGUUCUUGUCGCCUCCGUGAUUUUCAUGUGCCACGUUAAGUUUCGCACUGGCUUUUACCGGAGGAGCAUCACGAACUUCACCAUUAUUCUUAUCUGCGGAUAUUAUUAAUAAUCAAGUUAGACAAUGGUUUCCAAAAAAAGUACAAACAUGAAUCACUCUUUUGUUACAUACGCAUGUAUUGAAUACUUACUCUCGUUGUUGGCUCCAUUAGUAAUAACCCCAUUCGAUCUCUUACCUGAAAUUCACAUGUAAAAACGGUCAAGUGGGUCAUGUUAUAAGCAUUCUCGGAGUGUUCAAAAACAAAGGUAGCAUAGAUCUCUCACUUCUUUGCCAUUUAAAACUAGUCUCCAAGCAUGCAAUAAAUAAAGCCAAUGAAUGUAAAAAGCAAGCUUACCAUUCUCCUGCAGAGGGGUCGUCUCAUCCUUCAGCGGUGCUGCUGUUUCCUUUUUAAGUGAGCGUAUUAACAAAGCUCUCGGGUUUUCCCUUGGAGUGAGAAACGCAUCAGCCCUAGGUGUAUUGGAGUUCUCUUCAUCACUGAAGAAUGGAACCUGAAACAAACAUGUAGAAAGAACUUCAGUAACAAAAAAUAUAAAGAUUUACAGUUUAAUUCAAGACCAAGCCGAGAUUCAGAAAACAGUAAACAUACCUUUGGACUAUCAUCCCCAGCACGGUACUUUCUUGCAGGCAGCAUGACCCGUCUUUGCAAAAGAUGUCGAGAAGUCAGGAGUGGUGACACUCUGGCUGGUGCAGGUCUAUCAACGACCUGAGAAGAAACAAAAUAUAUGUGUUCGUAACAUGGAGUCUUUGCUAUAAGUUGGUUUGCUCGUGUUGAAGGAAAGCACAAUAAACUUACAGGCAAGCUGGAGAUUCCAUACUGAAUCGAAGGUGAAUUUCCACCUUGACCAAUUGAAAUCAGAGGGGCAGCAGGAAGCGUUCCAAAUGGGCUUGCAACAGGGUUUGGCUGCGUAGCAGUGAGGUUACUUGCAGGGUUUGGUUGCGAAGCAGGCCUGUCAAAACAAAGACGAGAAUGAACCGUAAAUAAAAUAAUCUAAAAGGAGAAACAAGAGUCGAGAGAAACUGAUGUACUUACACUUGCCCAAAGUUGACUGGACAAAAUGACAAUCCACCUGCAGCGGCUGUUUGGGUCUGACCAGAGUUGUUGAAACUAAAAGAUGGUUGAGUUGGCUGAGUUGAUUGCUGGAGUGUCGGACCAGAAGGCUACAACAAAUAAACCAACGUUAGAAAAGUGAAAGAGACGUUGAGCUAUAAAAAAAAAAAUAUAAGUUACCUUUGUUUGACUUAAGGGAGCGAUGCUUGUAUUUAAGGAAGGAAAGCUUGUAGACAUGUUUAGGAAUCCAGUGGAAGGUGUACUGAAAAUGCUAGGUUGGGUAUUUGUAUUUUGUCCAAACCCAGUCUGCGCAAAUGAGGGGCUUGAGCUAAACAGCGGAGCUGACUGACUGUUGUUAAAGUAUCCACUGCUAAAUGCUGGAGUUGACCCUUGUGCAGGAGUCGAACUAAACAGUGACGGAGAGGAGCCAGAUGAACUGAAGACUGACGAAGAGGCAAAUGAAGGAGUGCUUGAUGGACCAAAUGGCUGCGUUGUGGUUGCUGCAAAACCAGAGAGGAUGGUCCAAAACCGGGUGUGGUAUUUGAUGAAGUUCCAAACAAGGAUGGGGUAGUAGGUUGGCCAAAGGGAGACGAGAAAUUUGUGUUAGUUGCUGAAUGGAAUCAACCAUCAAUGUCUUGGCAAGAUCUUCGGACUAAAGAAUGUGAAAUAGACGUCCAAAGAUCUUCGGGCUAAUCAAAUGCCAGACACAUUUGCUGACCCGAAAAAGAAUGACUAAGUCAUAUAUAAACCAGCUUGUAAAGCACCAACGAAUUUGAUGUCCAAGAAGAGACACAAUCAAGUUGCUACAGAGUCUAGACAACGUAUGAAACGUUGUAGACCAAAUAGGUUCCAAAAGAUAAGAAUCCUCGGAAACAAAAGAAAGGUGCAGAGAAUGAUAAUCAAAAUCCAAAUCCGAGGUUACUAAGGAAACCAUCCNNNNNNNNNNNNNNNNNNNNNNNNNNNNNNNNNNNNNNNNNNNNNNNNNNNNNNNNNNNNNNNNNNNNNNNNNNAAAUUUAAUUUUCAUAUUUAUGUUUUUUUAUAGUCAUAUUUUUUUUUAUAAUUAUAUUUUUAUAAUUUUUAUAAUUAUUAUUAAUAAGAGAUUUUGAUAUUUAUAUUGAAUUUGUGAUGUUACAUAACUAUAAACUUGUGAAAUAUUAUUAGGUAACAAAUAUGAAUAAAAAAAUAAAUACAAAAAUAUAUUUGAAUUUUAGAUUUGUUGUCACAUACGUAUCCUUUAAAAAAGGAGGUAACUCCUUAUGUGAAUUGAUCUCCUUAUGUGAAUUGAUCUGCACGAAGAGAGAUAACUGAUUAUAUUAUUGAAAUAUAUUAGGUUAUUUUUUAAAUAGGCCACGCAGGAAAAAAUUAUUGGAUCAAUAAUUUAUCAAUUGGUCAUGAUUCUGAUUUAAUAGAAUAGAUGUGAAAUAUUAUUAGGUGACAAAUAUGAAUAAAAAAAUAAAUACAAAAAUAUAUUUGAAUUCUAGAUUUGUUGUCACAUACGUAUCCUUUAAAAGAGGAGGUAACUCCUUAUGUGAACUGAUCUCCUUAUGUGAAUUGAUCUGCACGAAGAGAGAUAACUGAUUAUAUUAUUGAAAUAUAUUAGGUUAUUUUUUAAAUAGGCCACGCAGGAAAAAAUUAUUGGACCAAUAAUUUAUCAAUUGGUCAUGAUUCUGAUUUAAUAGAAUAGAUCCGUUAAUCAAAUAAAACCAGAAAAAACUAAAAACCUGCUACCAACCCGCGAUCUGAUACUGGUUGAUCUGAUAAAACUCCAAAAAAUUAUAUUAAAUUUGUAGUAAAUAACAGUAUUAAUUUAUUUUUGUUAUUAAUAGCCUAUUAUAAAUUUAUAUUUCUAUUUAUUUUAGAUUUAAAAUUUAAUUUUAUAAUAAUAUUUAAAAUAUUUUUGAACACUCAAAAUCUUUAUACAUUUACACUGAACCGACAAAUCUUUAUAUAUUGAUAAAAUAAUUAUAAUGAAUUGGUUAGUAGUUCUAAACCAUGAACUGAUUUGUUUUUACACCAAAGAACCGAAAAAUAUUUACACAUUUAUUGAAAAUUCUAUUGGACCGAUUUCUAUUUUUUUGGUUUAGUAUAUUGAAAUGGUUACCUUUUAAAACCCAGCGUGUGAACUGGGUUUAAAUAUUUUUUGUUUAGUAUAUAUAAAAAAAAUAUGAAUAAGAGUGUAUCAAUCAAUGAAAGUGGCAUAUGUCGCAUCAAACAUUAAGAAUAUGAUUUAUUAGCGUUUGGUAUGUAAAUAUUAAUCAACCAUAUAAUAGUAUUUUAUCAUCACAUGCUCAAAUGCAUUGUAUAAGUUAUAAUAUAGAUAAAUAUGUGUUUUUUUUUUCUUUUUUCAUUUUGUGGGUCGGCGUAGGCCUGGGACGGAUCGGGUAUCCGAGCAAUUUUAAGAUAUCCGGAUCCGGAUCCUUAUCCGGUGGAUCCAUAAUUUUACUAUCCUUAUCCGGAUCCGUGGUUCGCGGAUAUCCGGGUGUCGGAUAUCCUUCUAAAAAUUAAAAUAUCCGGCGGAUAUCCGGAUCCGGAUUUAGAUCCUUAAAAUAAAUAAAAUAAUAAUAAUAAUAUAUAUAAAAUAUUAAAAAUAAUUUAAAAACAACGACGUUAGAUCUUUUCUACUCAUCAUCUUCAUCUCCAACCAUGUAAGAACUAAAAAUGUUCGACCUUAAACUUCCACUCCCCAUUCACAGAAUCAUAAGACACGAACUCAGCUCCUUGUUCUUCAGCUUUCCUCUUGAGCAUUUCCUUAUACUUCUCCACCCUCGGGCCUUCCUUCACUUGCUUCCCGCUCUUCUUGUCCAUGCAUUUUAUGUUGAGCAACGUUACUUCCGCUGGCUUGUUCAGUCCCUGACCAACAGGAGGUUUUUGGCUCUCGUCCAUGUACACAAGCACUUCCCUGUUGCUGAACUGAACCAACUUUUCCAAGUAGAGCUUACGCACAUCCGUCUCUCCUAGAAACUUAAUGCUUCCGUAACCGUGUCUACCGACAACAAAGUCCCUCACUCGUCCGG
rnacentral:lncRNA from 1 species